GAUGAACGCUGGCGGCGUGCCUAAUACAUGCAAGUCGAGCGAACAGACGAGGAGCUUGCUCCUCUGACGUUAGCGGCGGACGGGUGAGUAACAAGUGGAUAACCUACCUAUAAGACUGGGGUAACUUCGGGAAACCGGAGCUAAUACCGGAUAAUAUAUUGAACCGCAUGGAUCAAUAGUGAAAGACGGCUUUGCCGUCACUUAUAGAUGGUUCCGCGCCGCAUUAGCUAGUUGGUAAGGUAACGGCUUACCAAGGCGACGAUGCGUAGCCGACCUGAGAGGGUGAUCGGCCACACUGGAACUGAGACACGGUCCAGACUCCUACGGGAGGCAGCAGUAGGGAAUCUUCCGCAAUGGGCGAAAGCCUGACGUAGCAACGCCGCGUGAGUGAUGAAGGUCUUCGGAUCGUAAAACUCUGUUAUUAGGGAAGAACAAAUGUGUAAGUAACUAUGCACGUCUUGACGGUACCUAAUCAGAAAGCCCCGGCUAACUACGUG
rnacentral:rRNA from 1 species